GAUGAACGCUGGCGGCGUGCCUAAUACAUGCAAGUAGAACGCUGAAGGAGGAGCUUGCUCUUUCCGGAUGAGUUGCGAACGGGUGAGUAACGCGUAGGUAACCUGCCUGGUAGCGGGGGAUAACUAUUGGAAACGAUAGCUAAUACCGCAUAACAGUAGAUAUUGCAUGAUAUUUGCUUGAAAGGGGCAAUUGCUCCACUACCAGAUGGACCUGCGUUGUAUUAGCUAGUUGGUGAGGUAACGGCUCACCAAGGCGACGAUACAUAGCCGACCUGAGAGGGUGAUCGGCCACACUGGGACUGAGACACGGCCCAGACUCCUACGGGAGGCAGCAGUAGGGAAUCUUCGGCAAUGGACGGAAGUCUGACCGAGCAACGCCGCGUGAGGGAAGAAGGUUUUCGGAUCGUAAAGCUCUGUUGUAAGAGAAGAACGAGUGUGAGAGUGGAAAGUUCACACUGUGACGGUAUCUUACCAGAAAGAGACGGCUAACUACGUG
rnacentral:rRNA from 1 species